GAUGAACGCUGGCGGCGUGCCUAACACAUGCAAGUCGAACGAAGCUUGACGGAUGAUUUCUUCGGAAUGAAACCAGAUAUGACUUAGUGGCGGACGGGUGAGUAACACGUGAGCAACCUGCCUUUCAGAGGGGGAUAACGGCUGGAAACGGUCGCUAAUACCGCAUGAUGUGUUCGGAUGGCAUCAUCUGAACAUCAAAGAUUUAUCGCUGAAAGAUGGGCUCGCGUCUGAUUAGAUAGUUGGUGGGGUAACGGCCUACCAAGUCUACGAUCAGUAGCCGGACUGAGAGGGUGAACGGCCACAUUGGGACUGAGAUACGGCCCAGACUCCUACGGGAGGCAGCAGUGGGGAAGAUUGCACAAUGGGGGAAACCCUGAUGCAGCAACGCCGCGUGAAGGAUGACGGUUUUCGGAUUGUAAACUUCUUUUCUUAGUGACGAAGACAGUGACGGUAGCUAAGGAAUAAGCAUCGGCUAACUACGUG
rnacentral:rRNA from 1 species